rnacentral:rRNA from 1 species
AUCUGGCCUUCGGGUCCGAAUUGUAAUUUGCAGAGGAUGCUUUUGGUUAGGUACUUUCCGAGUUCCCUGGAACGGGACGCCUUAGAGGGUGAGAGCCCCGUACGGUUGGAUACCGAGCCUUUGUAAAGCUCCUUCGACGAGUCGAGUAGUUUGGGAAUGCUGCUCUAAAUGGGAGGUAAAUUUCUUCUAAAGCUAAAUACCGGCCAGAGACCGAUAGCGCACAAGUAGAGUGAUCGAAAGAUGAAAAGCACUUUGAAAAGAGGGUUAAAUAGCACGUGAAAUUGUUGAAAGGGAAGCGUUUAUGACCAGACUUUUUCCAGGCGAAUCAUCCGGUGUUCUCGCCGGUGCACUUCGUCUGGUUGAGGCCAGCAUCGGUUUUCGUGGGGGGAUAAAAGCGGUGGGAAUGUGACUCCUCCGGGAGUGUUAUAGCCCGCCGUAUAAUACCUCCAUGGGGACCGAGGUUCGCGCUCUGCAAGGAUGCUGGCGUAAUGGUCAUCAACGACCCGUCUUGAAACACGGACCAAGGAGUCGAACAUUUGUGCGAGUGUUUGGGUGUUAAACCCUCACGCGUAAUGAAAGUGAACGGAGGUGAGAGCCCUUACGGGUGCAUCAUCGACCGAUCCUGAUGUUUUCGGAUGGAUUUGAGUAAGAGCAUAACUGUUCGGACCCGAAAGAUGGUGAACUAUGCGUGGAUAGGGUGAAGCCAGAGGAAACUCUGGUGGAGGCUCGCAGCGG